AUAUACAAAUAUAAUGAAUGUUUAUGAGUGCAAUGGUAAGAAUAUUCUCAUGAGGUGAAAUAUGGAAUGUUCCAUUCAACGAGCCGACAGCCGAGUUGAAUGGAACAUUCCAUCUUUCACCGAAUGAAAAUAUUCUUACCAUUGCACGAAUAAAAACAUUCAUUAUUUGUUUUAUAU
rnacentral:miRNA from 1 species